rfam:Ovis aries breed Texel chromosome 11, whole genome shotgun sequence.
UCCCUGGUGGCUCAGUGGUAAAGACUCUGCCUGCCAAUGCAGGAGACUCGGGUUCAACCCCUGAUCUGGGAA